UUAGAAUAAUUAUUUGGAUCACGGGGCCCUAUAUAGGCCCGGCGGGGUGUUCCUUGAUUGGAGAAAACAGAAAACAGCCAACCUGACCGGCCCAUUAUCGCGUCCCGAACGGACGCGUAAUCUACCCACGACCUUCCCUCAGAAUACAAAAAACAAAGUACCCACGACCUUCCUGGUCGUCCCCAGCGCCGCCAUCGGCCUCCUCCGGCAGACCCGCCGGCGGCCUCCCCCCGCAGGCCCCGCCGCCACCGCGGGCCUCCUCCCGCAGACCUGCCGCCGCCGCCGCCGCCCUCAACCGGAGAAGAUGGUGCCCAGCCCCGCCCCCGCCCCCAACCGGAGAUGUCGCCGCCACCGCCGACCACCUUCACAAUCGCCGCCGCCCACCACCCCGACCACCUCCGCAACCACCGCCGACGACCACCUCCUCCGCCCCCCGCCGCGACCACCUCUGCCGCCCACUACUCCGGGGCGACCUGCCCUCGCACUCCGGCGCGACCUGCCCGCCCUUCCAACGCGAUCUGCCGCGUGUGCUCUGGCGCGCCCCAUCCUUCAGGGUCAGAACAGCGCGGGGGGAUCUCGAGCUGCACCACCCGCCGCCGCUCCCCGUGCAGGCUGUUCACCGACGAGCUCCUGCAUCGGUGCCAUCUUCCUGCCCUGCUCCACCUGAACUCUCUCCCCUGAUUGCUCUCUCUCUCUCUCUCUGUGUGUGUGUGUGUGUGUUGUGUUCUUCAAAUAGCAUCAGCUAAGUGCUAUUAGAUGAUCAUAUCUAGUUGCGCAAUCCUCUGUUUUGCUGCUUACUGGGAGAGCCUAUAUACACUAACUAUUCUUGCUAUGGAAUCUGUAAGUUUGGUCCCAACUCUUCUUGCUGCAGGACCUUGUUGCUUGCAUCGCCGUGUCUUUUGGCAAGGAGUAAAUUAUCAUUUGGAGGGGAACAGACUGAUGAAAGCAUACAGGAUAGUAUGCAAAAGACAUUCCCUUCAGUUCUUGAAUCAGAGUGCCGCAGUGAAGAGCAAGAUGCUUUUUUGGUUGAUGAAUUGGUCCGAAUAGAUUGAGAGGCCACGACCACCAGGUUCCUCUCUUUUGGUCUUGUGGUGAAUGCUCUAUUGGGGUGUUCCCAUAGUGAUCGAUGUUCUUGAAGGACAUGAAGUUUGACGCUGUUAACGCGAUGCUUAUGUGUGCAGACAUGCUGAGAUGGAGGAAAGAGCUCGGUGUGAACAUGAUCCUUGAGGCGAUCACGCUGACCUACAGCAAUCUUUGCUUAAUGUCCAACAUUCAACGAGCUCACGUGGACAGGGUUUUGAGUUUGACCGCCCCCUGGCGACACGAGCCUGCCCUCCUCUGCACCACCCCUGGUGGCGAGCCCUGCCUCUGCUGCUGAGGCUGCCGCUGCAUCACUCCCUCCCCCUGCUCAUCUUUGUGCCUGCCAGUUGGUUUAGGUGGCAGCAGUAUAAGAUGUUAUCGCUGGUCUGUUGCCAAUUUACCAUGAACCAUCCUACUAGCGUAACGUAUGCAUUUAUCCAAGGAAUACUGUACCUUCCAGAUUUUCUCGUAUAUUUGUACCAUACAUACUUAUUUUAUUGUUGUGUUGUCAAAAUAGAUGAUCAUGUCAACACAUAAAUUCAGUAACUGAUAUUA